CGGCCGAUGCCAUCUUUAUGAAACAAAUAAUAGCCGAUGAUGAAAUAGGGGAGGGAAGGUUUUCUUACCUGAUUUAUAUUAAGAUUUACAAUAAAUACACUGAUUUUCUACCACAUAUUUCUGAUUAUUUAUUGAAAGAUACAUAUCGUUAGCAAACUAUUUUAUUUAGUAAAAAGAAAUGGAACUUAUAAGGCACACAGACAUUAAAUAACUUGUCUCAAACUCCAGACUCAUCUAGAAACGGUUAAUGCCUGCAUGUCAUGAGAAUCUCCAUUAACACUUUAAAGCUUAGUGGUAACUAUAGACACCAUUUGCAUCAACAAAGAGUAACUCUGUAUUCUCUUACAUAUUGCAUUUGUUGAUUUUGUAUGAUUCUCAGAAUAAACAGCUACUGUAUUGUUUUGUUUGCCGGACUGCUGGCAGUCAGCAUUCAACAGAAGUCUUCUUGGCUUUCCCCUGUCUUUAAAUAAAUAUCGAGAUGGUUGCGAUGUUCCAAGUUGCUAAUGCACGCCACUCAUGCAGCCCUCUCGAUUUAAGUUAAUAAAAAUUAUUCCUUUGCUGUGGGUGCCACAAAAUUACUUACCUCUUUAAAUUACCAUUUCAAUAUUUAUCAGUAAGAAAAUAAAAAUUAUCUUGUCUUUGUCUCAACCUUCUGCUUGUUACCAUAACAACGUAUUCACUUCCGUUAUAUCCUUGUCAGUAAGACGAACAGAAAUGCCUCGGGACCUUGUAACAACCUCUUUCCUCUCCUGAGGUUUAGUCCUGCCUCUUUUCCUCCAUAAACACCCUUCUUUCUCCUAUUCUAGCAGUAUCUUUCCUGAUUUGCCCCUUCUUCUUGUUCAAGCGGUUAAAGAGGCGAGUAAGUAUGUCCAAGUGUCAGUCUGCAAUUGUGGAACUACUUUAAGUUCUGUUAUAUAAAUUUAUAAACUGAUUUAGGCAUCCGAAAGGUAAAAUUUCACCAUUUGUUCUCUAUAUGUGCAUGUUCAAUUAUAAAUAUACUAUGUAAUCCUCCCCUUCCACCUGAAGAAUUUCAAAUAUUUAUGACGUAUGUCGUUGCCCUGGUUACUGAUUGCUAUUUCUCUCGUCCCUCUCCCCCCUCUUACCUCUUCACAGUGCCCAAAAACCUACAGAGCUGCUUUUUCGCUCGAACAGAAAUCCCGUGUUGUGUCAGCAAUGGUCGGUGAAAUUUCUACUGUUUGAUGCAUCGCAUUACAAACACAGAUUAUGAAAGGAAGUUUUCACAAAAUUCUCUGCAUUACGUGAAGCAUUUUCUUCUGAGGCCGUUAACAGCAGUAAAAAUAGCUAACGUUGCCGGUGGCGAUUAAAAUGUUAAUCCGUGGUAUAGCCUACUAUUUUAAUGACAGUGCACGUUAUAGACUACAUUAAAAAGAACGGAAUCCAUUUUCAUUUCAUAACAGACUGUGUGAACUUCGUAAACACGUAUUUCCUUGAUGCUAUCUUUAGAAUUGGGAUUGCUCAGUAAAUGAAUGUUGGACUGGGGAUUGGGUAAACUGAAUCUAAUUUCUGUCAGGACAGGAAUUUCUUUUCUUUUCGCCGCAUACCAAUCGUUUAGAGUAGUUUUAUUUUCCAGUGAAUCUAAUGAAUAAGGCCUUACUCGGGUUACAGCGAUUCGAUCUUGAAUCUUAACCACUCACAUUAAUUUAGUACCGAUAACAGUAAUACGUGGCGCUGUAUUCUACUCCCUCUUCACAGUUAUGAAUUUACCUUUGUCUCAAGUCAGGAGUACAUUGAAGCUAGAACAAGCAAAUUGCCUCACCCACUCUAAGAAUUCGUUAGUAUACAGCCUAUGCAUCAAAUAUAUAAGGGUAGGAAUAUUUGCUCGCUCACUUAAUGCAUAAAAUAUAAAAUAUGAAAUAAACAUAUUUAUCGAUUCUAUCAGGACACAGAUUUCAUAAAAUCCUUUUUUCGCGCAACUGUUUAUGAUAAAUUAAAUUUCCACACAACUGAAGUUUUAAUUAAAUAGAAUGGGUUCAUCUGGCACUCUUUAAGGUUCAACAGUCUUUUUUUUUAACUUUGUGUUUGGAAGACCAGAAAUUUUCAGGAGUUUGAUUUCCACUUGCUGAUAUCAACGCGUGUUGUCUGUUGAUCCCUGUCACACCUCCACCCGCAUAACAGGUUCGUACAACGGGAUAGCGGCUCAUCUGGCGUCUUGGGUCCUCGCAACGGGGGAUCCCUCUCAAGUUAUAGCCUAGAAUUCAAUUGGCCCCUGUUUCUGCCCCAAACACUGGCACUAAUCUUAAAAAAUUCGAAGUAUAAUGUCAACCAAUUAUUCGAAGACGGGAAUUUAGUCAAUUCCCGAAACGUCGUUUCUGUAAAAUAGAACCCAAAUAAUGGUCGGCAUAAUGUUGAUGUAACAGACUGUCUCCUUUUGUAAAUUUAUCGAAAUAUGACGCAUUAUAUCACUCUGAUAUUGUCUUUUAUAAUUGUCAGUUUAAUUAUCAUGUAUUUUAUUCAUGAUUACCAGUAUUAUUAUAGUGCACAUGGAGACAUUUUCCAUGCUGGUAGUUUAUAAAUAAGAUAAUUACAAUAAAAUACAGGUUAGGCAGCACACAUAACCUUCUCCAAUAACUUUUGAUACUAUGGACAUAUCGUAAAUUCAUAAUCCGUAACACAUAUACGGCGCAUGCCCAGAGGACUCCAACGAGAAGAGGAUCCAAGGAUUGUAACUGUAAGACCAGAUUCAUGCUAACCGCCGUGCUGUGUGUUUUCAGGGCUAUGGCUGUAUGUGUUGCAAUUCUGUGCUGCUAUUAUUAUUUUGUUUUGGUUUCAUCUUCUCCAAUACGUUAUUUUCUAGGCAUGCAACGACUACCCAACCACACAGCCAUCUUGAAAUGAAACAAUGCAAUUGUUUCUAAGCUGUUUUUACAAUUUCAGUUAAACCAAUUUUUCUGCUGUUUUCUUGCAUCAGCUGGCAAUUAUUUAUUUUUAGUUUUUUAUUGUUUUUUGUGAAUGUUGUAUAAUGUUU